GCAGAUUCUUUACCAUCCGAGCCACUGGGAAAACCUACAUUAUAGAAGAAUAUGUACCAUCAUUAAAUCUAGGCCCACAUGGCAAGUUGAAAUUCAGCUGUUUGGACCAAGUUCUAUAUACAUUUAGAGGUGAAGAUGCUACCCCUCUGGACCACCUUCCCAUAGCCUGCCUCCUGCUGAAAGGAGAAUAAGUCCUUUCCUGAGCCCUGGAUGUUCCAGCCACCCCGAAUGUUGAGUGCUGGAUGCGCCCACUCUUUUCUGAAUGCUCCUAAUCAAAUCCUCUUGGUUGGGCAGGGAGCAGAGACUCAGAAGGGCAAGGCCGCCCUGGCCACACCACGGUUUUCUCACUUGGAGAGGCCCACAUGCUGUCUGUGGUGGAGAAGCUGAGGUGUCACCUGAGCCACCGGGCCAAGGUCCCAUGUUCCCUGGAGUCCACCUGGAGCCCUGAGUCCUCCUCAGGCACGCUGGCACACUUCAGGGUAAAAUUCUGCAAGGAGUUAGAUGCCUUUCCUAUGUCUCCAUCGCACAGGAAUCUUUCUCAGAUUGCAGGUAUGUAUUACAGAUAUGUGUCCACUGGGCAGGGUAACUUCAAAGACCAGCCCUGUUCGAUAUUUUCCUUAGAAGAAUCGCAAGUGCAGUCAUUGAAAACAAUAAUGGACAACAAUAAUGGACAACAAUUUAAAACUUUAUUGAAGGCUCUUAAAAAUCAAAGUGUGAGUGUGUGGUGGGUAUGUGGGGUGUGUGUGUGUGUGUGUGUGAUAUGUGUAUGAGUGGUGUGUGUAUGUCUGUAAUAUUCAUCAUUGGAGAGCUGGGACCUGGGAUGUCAGAAGGCCCCACAUCAGGGCUCAGGCCCCCCCCAUUCCCCAAGUUGCAGACAUGGGGAGACGGGCUUUGUUCCACCACGCCUGCCCACCUCCCCCAAGAAGGAAAUCUAUCCCAGGGCGUCCUGUAGAGCGUGGUCCAGGACUUCACUCAACGGCAGCUCCUUGCUUUCAUUGUCUCAUGUUGAAAAUGGGCGGUGAUGUCCAGUUAAGGAAAAUUCCAAGUGAUUUGUCUUCAUUAAUCAUCUGAAAAAUGAAUAGGGCAGCCAGAUGACUUUCCUGAGGCUCCUUAUCAACUGGCUGGGUGGUGAGGCUGAGGUUCCCUCAAAGGGCCUUCCUGGCUUCCCUGGGACAGCACUGUGUUCACAGCCGAGCUGUUUCUGGGAUCCAGAAGCCCGGCAUGGCCCCUGAGCCAGACUCAGGGGAUGGGUGGGUGCUGCUUCCAGGGUGUUUGAGGAAAUGUAACAUCAGAAGAGUACUGAAUAGCAGAGCUAGCACUGAUCACUCAUUUUGUGCCAGCCCCAUGAGAGUUUUUAUUUUUAUUACUUUUAGGGAUCAAGACACACAUUCUGGGGCUUCCCUGAUUGUCCAGUGCUUAAGACUUCACCUUCAAUGCAGGGGAUAUGAGCUUGAUCCCUGGUCUGAGAGCUAAGAUCUCACAUGCCUCAUGGACAAAAAAUGAAAAACAUUAAACAGAAGCAAUAUUUAACAAAUUCAAUGAAAACUUUAAAAAUGGUCCACACUGUAAAAAAAAAAAAAAAAAAAAAAANAAACUUUAAAAAUGGUCCACACUGUAAAAAAAAAAAAAAAAAAAAGAACACACUUCUGUUUCCAGACAGAUAAGAAAUGAGAAGGAGAAGAAGUGAUCAAAAGCUAAAUAACAUCAGGUUAUACAAACUAAUCUUAUGUAAAAACAAAAAAACAGACAUUUGGAGACUAUGCUAAUCAAAUUUUCUGUUUAAAUGUCGGUUUAAAUAUCAAUUUUUAAUAUCAUACUUAAAAAAUAGUGUUACCUAAAGCACUUCAGAGUUCCCAAACUGAAAUAUAUAUUUAUGCAUAUUCAUAUAUAUUAAAAGUUGUUGUUCAUUCACUAACUUGUAUACAACUCUUU
ensembl:lncRNA